UACGGGGGGGGGCAAGCGUUGUUCGGAAUUACUGGGCGUAAAGGGAGCGUAGGCGGACAGUUUAGUCAGAGGUGAAAGCCCAGGGCUCAACCUUGGAAUUGCCUUUGAUACUGACUGUCUUGAGUUCGGGAGAGGUGAGUGGAACUGCGAGUGUAGAGGUGAAAUUCGUAGAUAUUCGCAAGAACACCAGUGGCGAAGGCGGCUCACUGGCCCGGUACUGACGCUGAGGUGCGAAAGCGUGGGGAGCAAACAGG
rnacentral:rRNA from 1 species